rnacentral:rRNA from 1 species
GUGCAAUUGCACCGUCUGGGGAUGAGCCUGCGGUCCAUUAGUUAGUUGGCGGGGUAACGGCCCACCAAGACGACGAUGGAUAGCCGGCCUGAGAGGGUGUACGGCCACACUGCAACUGAGACACGGUCCAGACUCCUACGGGAGGCAGCAGCUAAGAAUCUUCCGCAAUGGGGGAAACCCUGACGGAGCGACGCCGCGUGGAUGAUGAAGGCCGUAAGGUUGUAAAAUCCUUUUGUCGGUGAAGAAUAAGGAGGGGAGUGGAAAGCCUCUCUGAUGACGUUAGCCGACGAAUAAGCCCCGGCUAAUUACGUGCCAGCAGCCGCGGUAAUACGUAUGGGGCAAGCGUUGUUCGGAUUUAUUGGGCGUAAAGGGCGUGUAGGCGGCUCAUCAAGUCUGGUGUGAAAAUGCAGGGCCCAACCCUGCAAAUGCGCUGGAAACUGGUGGGCUUGAGUUCUUGAGGGGAAGCUGGAAUUCCAGGUGUAGGGGUGAAAUCUGUAGAUAUCUGGAAGAACACCGGUGGCGAAGGCGAGCUUCUAUCAGAGGACUGACGCUGAGGCGCGAAAGCGUGGGGAGCAAACAGGAUUAGAUACCCUGGUAGUCCACGCUGUAAACGAUGUGCACUAGGCGUGGGGCCCGUACGGGUUCUGUGCCGUAGUUAACGUGUUAAGUGCACCGCCUGGGGAGUAUGCUCGCAAGGGUGAAACUCAAAGGAAUUGACGGGGGCCCGCACAAGCGGUGGAGCAUGUGGUUUAAUUCGAUUGUACACGAGGAACCUUACCAGGGCUUGACAUGUGCGUGAAUGUUCACGAGAGUGGGCAGCCCCGCAAGGGGCGCGCACACAGGUGCUGCAUGGCUGUCGUCAGCUCGUGUCGUGAGAUGUUGGGUUAAGUCCCGCAACGAGCGCAACCCUUACUGUCUGUUGCCAACAGGUUGUGCUGGGCACUCGGACGGAACUGCCGGUGACAAACCGGAGGAAGGUGGGGAUGACGUCAAGUCAUCAUGGCCCUUAUGUCCUGGGCUACACACGUGCUACAAUGGCAAGUACAAAGCGAAGCAAAACGGCGACGUCAAGCAAAUCGCAGAAAGCUUGUCUCAGUGCGGAUUGGAGUCUGAAACCCGACUCCAUGAAGUUGGAAUCGCUAGUAAUCGCGCAUCAGCAUGGCGCGGUGAAUACGUUCCCGGGCCUUGUACACACCGCCCGUC